AUCGUUUCGGGGGAGAUCGCACAGAAAUAACGUUUUUGCAUCCUGGGACAUGUCGUUGACUGGGCAGACCUGAAUGUAGCCCAUGAAUUAAGAAGAGAAAGGAUGAUGAUGCUAAUAAUAGUAAUAAUACUGAUAACGGCACCAAGUGUAUAGUGACACAACGCCGUCUCGAGAGAAAUAAAGAGGUGGUCAGAGAAGCAGAAAUGAAAAGGUCUCAGGACAAAAAAAUUGAGGUCAAAAAUUCACCGGUUUUGAACACAUCUCCAGCGAAAAAGAUAAAGGCACAGCAUUUCCGAUCAGCAGCUGGAGACAUGUCUUAUGGGUUUGAAGUAGCAUUAGCAG